GAACGUGUGUGUAUGAGUGCGAACUUAUUGAAAUGAACGAAAUAUACACGAAUAAAGCGUAUAUAAAAUCAAUGGAAGCAUUUCAAAGAGCACAUUGAACGUUCAACAUUGGAAAAGUGCCAGCAAAAGUGAAUUCAUUUUAUUUUUAAUUCAAACCAAUAACGACGACCAACAAAAAUGUCCAGUUUAAAAUUGAUAAUCGCUAUUAUUGCUAUGAUUGCAUACGCGACGGCUGCACCAAAACCGCAUAAAUUUGGAUAUGGUUUACCAGUCGCCGUUGAGCCAGUUGUGCCCGUUGCAGUUCCAGUACAAAGAAUUGUACCAGUUCAACCCAUUAUAUCCGUUCAACCUAUCGUACCUGUUCAACCCGUCGUCUCAGUAGUUCCGGUCUUUGGACGCUUUGGCCAUUUUGGUAAAUUCAGAAAAUUCUUUUAAACGUGACGACGUGCAAACCAGAGAUGAAUUUAAAAAAAAUAUUACCACUUAUUGUAAAUAAACUUUCAUCUUCAUAUUUUUU